rnacentral:misc_RNA from 1 species
CUGCUUUGGCAUUCAAAUAUCAGAGAAAGGUCUAAGAUGCUGCAAUAGGCAUGCAUGACAGGCGGAAAGGCCGAACAUAACCAUUAAAAUAAAAAUAAAAAUAAAUAUCCUUGUUGAGAAUAUGCCUAAACAAUACAAGCACCUUAAUAAUUGACAGGAAAAUGAAAAGCUAAUUUGGAUGGUAAAUGCAGACACCAUUGCAGUGCCAAAACCCAAAAACCAAAAAUUUUAAUUGCCAGGCCAAAUUUAUGUACAGAAGGACCAAAACGUAGCAACUACAGGACAAGAAAAUGAGACUAAAAUGGGCAAAAAGAAAGAUAACUUCUUUUGAAUCCUGGCCUUUGGCAAGCCACACAUCAUCAAGACAGCAUUUCCAAAGAUUUUACCCCCAAUAACCAGUGAAUUAAGAAUAAAGAAGCACCCUUUCAAAUCCUACAUUUCAGAAGAUUCACAGCUGGCAAUCUUCGGUUUCAGCCUUUAGUUUCUCUUAAUAGAGAAUACGGAUCAUAGAUGCUGCAAAUGUCACAUUUUAUUUGGCAUCAUAUAUUUAGCUUUUUUCUCAGCAGGCUUCAAAAUCUGAAAGGAGCACAUCAGAUUUUCAUCUACACUCAUCAUAGCACCUGCAUUAUCAAAUUCACCACAAUAGUUGGGAGCUGAAAAAAUAGUGACAAGCUGCCUUUCUGCAAAGAAUUCAUACCCAUCCUCCACAACCUGAUGUGCGCGACAGACAAGGUCUAAAUCAUGCUUUGUCAAGAAUUCUGACACCUUAUCAGGACCAAAAGUAUAUGAAACUCCUCUGUCAUUCAUUCCCCAACCUUUAACAUCUCUACCAGGAUCUGACCAGAGCAAAUCACAUAGUAAACCAGUGUCUGGAACUGCAGUUGGUCGAGGUAAAUUUCUAAUUUGAUCCAAAUUUGUCAAAUCAGGGGAAAGACCACCAUGCAUGCACAAUAUUUUAUCAUCUACUAGAGCCGCAACAGGAAGAUAGUUGAAACAGUCAGUAAAGAAUUUCCAAAGCCUCACAUUAAACCGCCGCUUGCAUUCAUCAUAAAAUCCAUAUAUCCGGUUUAUUGAUGCGCAUUCAUGGUUUCCUCUCAAAAGGAAAAAGUUUUCUGGAUAUUUAAUCUUGUAGGCAAGCAAAAGGCAAAUUGUUUCUAAACUCUGCUUGCCACGAUCAACAUAAUCCCCUAAAAAUAAAUAAUUGGCUUCAGGAGGAAAACCUCCAUACUCAAACAGCCUUAGUAAAUCACUAUAUUGCCCAUGAAUGUCACCUGAAAUAUAAAGAAGAAUCUUCAGAAGGCCGUAGAGACCAAAUAUAGGCAAUUAUUACACUGAAUUCCAAUAUAUAAUCACAGCAGGGUCUUCCACCAAAGCCACAGAGCUCAAAUUAACAACUUAAUCUAAAGCAUACAGUUGCCUUUGAUCAUUAAGAACGUCAAUUAAUCGAAUAAAUCCCUAAAAUGCCUUCAAUGAGACUUGAUCAAGUGCAGGAAUCAUAUUGCGUUCUCAAAAAUGGAACAAGAAACAACGAGUUUUUACUGGUACAGGGUGGGCUCUUUUAUAUCAAACAAUGUAAUAUCAAAACUCACAAGGGACUUAAUCCCCUAGACUAAGGAUUUUAGAAUUGACAUGAACAUGAACUAAAAGUUGUUCACUUUUCCUUGCCUAGUUUGUCAGCAAUGUAACAGUAUAUCACACCGUCCAAUCAAGUUUUGGUACAAUACAAAAACAACCCAAUAACACAAGACUCAAAUAGCCUAAUUCCACCCAGCCGCCACCCCAACCCCCCCGCGGCGGGAGGGGCGGAAUCUGACAUAUAAUACGUUCUACAAAAAUGUACCAUACCAAGUAAACAAAUAAAACAAGCACACAAAAGGGUUGCUCGUGAUAAACUCCUCCAAACGCGUUAUGCUCAACAAUUCAUCUUGUAGAAAACAAUCCCUGAACAUAAUCCCACAAAAACCAGACCAAAAACUCAACAUAUAGAUAUGAAAGUCGAUGUCUUUUUAUAUAGAGCAUACCGCAAAUCUUAAUGGGAGCUUCCAACUCGAGCAAAUUAGGCUGUUGCAUAAAGAUAUCUCGAGAAGCUACACAUAGCUGCCUGAUCUCAGCCUCCGAGAGCUGCACCUGCUUACCUGGCCUCGCUGAUCGGACCUCCGUUAGCCUUUUGAUGAUAUCAUCCAAUACGGCAGGGUCCAUCGACGCCUGCCCUUGUGUUGCCAUCGGAUCUUGUAGUCCUCCUCCUCGUCUUCCUUCUCCCUCCUAAUCCCCUGAUUUCUCCGAACAAAAAGCCCUAGAAAUCAGAAUGGCUAUAGAGUUUUUGACGAUUAUUUGGUCUUCUAGUCGUUGCUGGUCGUUUCGUGCCUUUUAGUCUGCUGUGCGUGUUCAAAAAACACUCGCUUAGUGGCGUAGAAGUAGAACAAAAAGGUAUUUUCUCGGGAAAAAGAGUGGGAAGGAUAAGGAAAAUAAUAAUAAAUUAAAUAUUUGUUUCAUGAGUCCGGGAAGGAGAAAAGAAAAGUGUGAAAACUGUAGAAGAAGGAGACGGCUGCAAUGUCCAUGCGGCGGAGGUGCCUAUAAUAUCUUCUUUCGGAGUGUUUUAG